GAUCAACGCUGGCGGCGUGCUUAACACAUGCAAGUCGAACGAAGUUUUUCCUUCGGGAGAAACUUAGUGGCGGACGGGUGAGUAACGCGUGGGUAACCUGCCCUGUACAGGGGGACAACAGCUGGAAACGGCUGCUAAUACCGCAUAAGCACUUAGCACUGCAUGGUGCAUAGGGAAAAGGAGCAAUCCGGUACAGGAUGGACCCGCGUCUGAUUAGCCAGUUGGCAGGGUAACGGCCUACCAAAGCGACGAUCAGUAGCCGAUCUGAGAGGAUGUACGGCCACAUUGGGACUGAGACACGGCCCAGACUCCUACGGGAGGCAGCAGUGGGGAAUAUUGCACAAUGGAGGAAACUCUGAUGCAGCGACGCCGCGUGAGUGAAGAAGUAUUUCGGUAUGUAAAGCUCUAUCAGCAGGGAAGAAAAUGACGGUACCUGACUAAGAAGCACCGGCUAAAUACGU
rnacentral:rRNA from 1 species